UGAAGUCGUAACAAGGUAACCGUAGGGUAACCUGCUGUUGGAUCACCUCCUUACCUGAAAGAA
rnacentral:rRNA from 1 species